AAUCCAUAGGUUAAUGAGGCGAACCGGGGGAACUGAAACAUCUAAGUACCCCGAGGAAAAGAAAUCAACCGAGAUUCCCCCAGUAGCGGCGAGCGAACGGGGAGGAGCCCAGAGCCUGAAUCAGCAUGUGUGUUAGUGGAAGCGUCUGGAAAGGCGCGCGAUACAGGGUGACAGCCCCGUACACAAAAGCGCAUGUGCUGUGAGCUCGAUGAGUAGGGCGGGACACGUGGUAUCCUGUCUGAAUAUGGGGGGACCAUCCUCCAAGGCUAAAUACUCCUGACUGACCGAUAGUGAACCAGUACCGUGAGGGAAAGGCGAAAAGAACCCCGGCGAGGGGAGUGAAAAAGAACCUGAAACCGUGUACGUACAAGCAGUGGGAGCACCCUUUGGGUGUGACUGCGUACCUUUUGUAUAAUGGGUCAGCGACUUAUAUUCUGUAGCAAGGUUAACCGAAUAGGGGAGCCGGAGGGAAACCGAGUCUUAACCGGGCGUUAAGUUGCAGGGUAUAGACCCGAAACCCGGUGAUCUAGCCAUGGGCAGGUUGAAGGUUGGGUAACACUAACUGGAGGACCGAACCGACUAAUGUUGAAAAAUUAGCGGAUGACCUGUGGCUGGGGGUGAAAGGCCAAUCAAACCGGGAGAUAGCUGGUUCUCCCCGAAAGCUAUUUAGGUAGCGCCUCGUGAAUUCAUCUCCGGGGGUAGAGCACUGUUUCGGCUAGGGGGCCAUCCCGGCUUACCAACCCGAUGCAAACUGCGAAUACCGGAGAAUGUUAUCACGGGAGACACACGGCGGGUGCUAACGUCCGUCGUGAAGAGGGAAACAACCCAGACCGCCAGCUAAGGUCCCAAAGUCAUGGUUAAGUGGGAAACGAUGUGGGAAGGCCCAGACAGCCAGGAUGUUGGCUUAGAAGCAGCCAUCAUUUAAAGAAAGCGUAAUAGCUCACUGG
rnacentral:rRNA from 1 species